CCUGUAACCCCAGCUACUCAGGAGGCUGAGGCAGGAGAAUUGCUUGAACCCACGAGGUGGAAGUUGCAGGGAGCCGAGAUCAUGCCACUGUACUCCAGCCUGGGCGACAAGAGUGAACAAAACUCCAUCUCAAAAAAAAAAAAAAAAAGAAAUUUUUGUUUUGUUUUGUUUUGUUUGUUUGAGAUGGAGCCUUGCUCUGUCGCCAGGCUGGAGUGCCGUGGUCCGAUCUUGGCUCCCUGCAACCUCCCCCUCCCGGGUUCAAGCGAUUCUCCUGCCUCAGCCUCCCGAGUAGCACAAGCACGUGCCACCACGCUCAGCUAAUUUUUGUAUUUUUAGUAGAGACGGGGUUUCACCAUGUUGGCCAGGCUGGUCUCUAUCUCUUGACCUCGUGAUCUGCCUGCCUCAGCCUGCCAAAGUGCUGGGAUUACAGGCAUGAGUCACCCCACACCCAGCCGAAAUUUGGUAAACUCAAUCAAGUUUAUUUAUUUAUUUAUUUAUUUUUUUAAUGGGUCGCGCUUUUGGUGUCUUAUUUUCCUAACCCAAAACGAAAAAGACUUUCUCCUCUGUUUUCUUCUGCACAUGUUAUAGAGAUCGCACUUACAUUUGGGUCUCUGAUCCACUUUGAGUUAAUUUUGGUGCAGGGUUUUCCAUUCACGGAACAUGAAGUUGGAUUUCUAAUAGGUCAAUAUAUGAAAAAUUUCCCGCAAAGUUUUUCUUUUCUUUUCUUUUUUUUUUUUUUUUUUGAGACUGUCACCCAGGCUGGAGUACAGUGGUGCAAUCACAGCUCACUGCAGCCUUGACGUCCCAGGCUCUAGAGAUCCUCCCACCUCAGCCUUCCAAGUAGCUGAGACCACAGGUGUGCACCACCACGCUUGCCUGAUUUUAUAUUUUUUGUACAGACGGGGUCCCACUGUGUUGGCCAGGCUCGUCUCGCACUCCUGGGCUUGAGUGAUCCUUCCACCUCGGUGUCCCAAAGUGCUGGGAUGAUAAGCAUGAGCCACUGCACUCGGCCAGUUUCUAGUUUGGAUAUUUGAGUGGACUUCCCAGCCCCCACACAGCAUGCUCAUUUCGUGUAAGAUUGUGAGAGAGUGCGAGGAGAGAAAGAGCAUGCAGCCAGCGUUGGAGCUUCGGAGACAUCCCGGGCAGGAGCUUCCCAGGGUCUCAUUUGUUCUGUCUCAUGGUUGGCACACGAAGGACAGUGAGAGGAAUCUUGGUUUCAGGGGGCCUCAAACCAGACAUUUGAGGAGGUAGGGGAGGCGGUUGCCACUCCGCUCAUUCAGUGCAUCCAGGCUGUCUAACUGGUUAGGCCACUUGCAAAUGUGCAAACCUUAAGUAAAGAAACAGACUCUGGGGUCAGGGGGGAGGUUUGAACUGUAACUAGCGCGUCAUAAAUCCCAGCCCUUAUCUUGAACAAGAGUCAAAGACCGGACUUGAAGGCAUCCCCCAAGAUAAAGACAAUGCUGCUUCUCUGCAGGUCUCUGCAUAUUCCCUCAGCUCACAGACCGGCUGCAUACUUGGUAUUUUCAGGGUUAGGUUUGCAACACAUGACUGGGGAAAUGCAUGAAAAGGAAAUGAUGCAAGAAUUCACCGCGGACACCUUUAGUGCUUUGCCAUCUGUACACCCGCUGCCUGCCCCCGUGGCUGUACAUUCCCACUUGCCCUUGCUGUGUUCAUAUUGGAAGCUGAGCCCAGCCUCUCCUGCACUGUGAACCGCCAUUGCAGUGGUCCCUGUACUUCACACGAUAAGCCUGGAUAAUGUCUUCGUUAUCUUUUUGGUGAUGCUUUCCCAAGUACGAGGUUCGUGCAAAAGUAAUAACUGCAAUUACCAACCUAGUAUCACUGAAUAGUUUUUUCUUUAACAAAGGUUUUGCUCCCGGACGAAUGAACGAGUGCUGGCUGCUUGUUCUUGGGGCUCAACAAUGAGGUGCAGACAGACUGGGGAGAAGGGGAUUUAUUUCUCCAACGGGUUACAGGGAGAAGGUCAGAUUAACUCACCAGGUCAGCUCAAAGUGACAAGUUUUUUCCAGGGUUUCUAUGCAUUUUAAGCUCUAUGCCCACGUGUAGGAUUGCACCUACGAGCGGGAGUAUUUCAUUCGGUUCCUGUCUAAUCUUUAACUAGGGUCUGGGGUCUGGGAAGUUUUCUCUAGACGCUUAAUCUUCAGUGAGCCCUGGUAUGACGUGUUUAACUUGUGCAUCAUCAGAAUUAUAAUAAAGCGUUAGUGGAAAAACUGGUUGCUCCGGCUGCUAAUGGAAGCCUGGCCUGCCACAGUUUGACUCAAAGGGAACCUAACUCUCAAGGAGCCAUAAUCCCAGCACUUUGGGAGGCCAAAGUGGAGGAUUGCUUGUGCCCAGGUGUUGGAGACCAGCCUGGGCGACAUAGGAGACCCCAUCUCUAUACAUAAAAGAAAAAUUAGUCGGGCAUGGUGGCUUGCGUCUCUUGCCUCAGCUACUCUGGAGGUUAAGGCUGGAGGAUCGCUUAAGCCUGGGAGUUGGAGGCUGCAGUGAGCUGUGAUUGUACCACAGCACCCCAGCCUGGGCAACAGAGCGGAACCCUGUCUCCAAAAACAAAACAAAACAAAAUAAAAAA
rnacentral:lncRNA from 1 species